CUGGAGUUCACAGUAAGAUUAGUGGAAUUGAGAAAUUGGAACAUGUUUCCUAAAGAUAGAUCAGCAUCCAUAAAGCAGAGGGGGUUGUUAAAUAAAACACAUGAUCAAAGUUUCAACACCUGUCAUGAGGUUACUGCAGUUAAUACUCUAUUAAGAGUGAAAAGCUGCAGCUUUUCCCAUUAAAAAAAAAAAGAAGAAAGAUAAACCAGGCAAAUAGAGCACAGGUGUUGACCUGCCCUACCUCUGCUCAAAGCCUAGAAACAAGCCAAGGGACCUCAUCAGAGGGCACCUUCCAAAGUCAGGGAAAUGAAGAACGAGUUUCAGGAGAAACUCAGGAAAGACUUGUUCCUGGUCAUGUUCCCUGCAGACAUUACCAAGCUCCAGGAAAGAGGGAGAGAAAAUGCCAUCUGGGAAAGACAAGAAUACAGCCCAGAGGUUAGCUGGGAAGGAUGGAAGGACUUCAGGAAGUGACUCCUAGGAUUGGGCAUCUCUGUGCCAGCAGAGGGGAGCACCACAGAGUCAAAUGGGAGCCCCGCAAGGCGGAGAAGGGUCCUGAGUCAGUAUUCCUGCCCCUGCCUUGAUUCCGUUGUACUGUGCGGAAUGGACAGAACAGGACUGCCAAUGAGCUGAGGUGCUGAGGGGUGAGUUGACCCCACCAGAGAGGUCAAAGUUGACAUUCAGAGACGUCUGCCAGAUCAGAAAGAGUCAAAUAGGAGAGCUCAGAAGAGCAGGGAGCUGACAGACCACUGACCCACAAAAGCAGCAAGGGGACCACGUCGCGCCAACCUGUACACUACCCACUAGACAGGCUUCCUCACCUCAACUCUAUGAACAGGGGGGCCAGAUAAUUCCUUAUUGAGGGAGGCUGUCCUGUCAUCAUAGGCUAUGUAGCAGCAUGCCUGGCCUCUACCCACUGGAUGCCAGCAGCUCCCCCACUGUCGUCGUGAUCAUCCACUGUGUCUGCAGACAUAGUUAAAUGUCUCCUGGGAGACAAAAAUCAGUGCAGAUUAAGAACUGCUGCACCAAACCAACAGAGAAGGCGACGGCACCCCACUCCAGCACUCUUGCCUGGAAAAUCCCAUGGACGGAGGAGCCUGGUGGGCUGCAGUCCAUGGGAUCGCGAAGAGUAGGACACGACUGAGCGACUUCCCUUUCACUUUUCCCUUUCAUGCAUUGGAGAAGGAAAUGGCAACCCACUCCAGUGUUCUUGCCUGGAGAAUCCCAGGGAUGGAGGAGUCUGGCGGGCUCUGUCUAUGGGGUCACACAGAGUCAGACACGACUGAAGCAACUUAGCAGCAGCAGCAGCAGCAGCACCAAAC
ensembl:lncRNA